CCCCUUGCCCUUCUUUCUGUACGCCGCUCCCUUCCUGCGUGUGCCGCCGCCAGCCUCCCUGUGCCCAGCCGCCGCUCCUCCCUUGCCCCUUUCUCUAGCGCCGCCCUAGCGCUACCCUCCUCAGCCGAGCGCCGCCCGCCGCCUCGCGCGCAGCUGCCUCGGGGCGCCGCGCGUGCAGCUCGUGCGCCAUCGAUGCGCGGCCGCCCGCGCGCAGCCGCCCUGCUCCAAGCUGCCAUCGCCUGCGCACAGCGGAGCCGCCGCCUGCCUCGCCCUCGGUCGCCGCCUCCUUGCUCGGCCACCGCUUAGCCCCGUGCACAGCGUCGCCCGCGCGGCCGCUGCCGCGCCGAGGCCGCCAGGUGCGCCACCGCGGGUUCCCCCGCGCUGUGGCCGCCGGAUUCCUCUGCUGCCGCCCAACAAAGAAGGGAGAAGGGGGAACGCAGGGGGAAAAAAAUGCGCCAAGGACCUCCGCCAGGUCCUCAUUGCCCUCCGCCCUCGAACCUACGAUGCAUUUGGCCACCGAGUCCUCGACGCCCUUGGCCAGGUUCCAUCUCGCUUCCCGACUCCCUCCACGUCUGAAUCUACAAUGUCCUCGUCAGUUUCCACCUCGCUCCCUCGCCGACUCCUUCCUUAACUUCAAGCACUGACCAAGAUCAACACCAAGAUGUCUCCAGGUUGGAAGCAAGGACCCUACAAUGCCCAAGCAGCAGGUAUGUUCAUGUGCCUUGGUCCAUUCCCAUUCGCAGAUUCCAGUAGUAGAUGUUGAUUUGAGGAAAUUUUCAUUUGUAUGGGUGAAAUGAAGGACUGCAACUCCCUGUGAACCUACCAGAAUACCUGAUGGCUUCAACUUUUUUUGUUCCACGAGUAUAGCUUAUCUAGUAUGUAGAAUGCGAGCACCUGUAAUUUUUGCACUAGCUGUUUAUAUUUUUGUUUGUCUUAGACCUAGGAAUAUCAUAUCAAGUCUUUAUUACAGUGUUAAGAAAACUUGAAACAUGAAUACAUAGAUGGCACUUGUUGUUGGUUUGUGGUUUUAUUUAUGUUGAAUAUUUUGUUUGCCCUUCUUGUCCUUAAUAACUUAAUUAUGUGUACCACUUUAUUUUUGUGGCCUUGAUGUGACCAUUCAACUCCAUGAUGAAGUUUUGUUUGUCCUUGUUUAUUCAUUAUUGCAAUUAGUGUUACUUAUUAUCUAUGUAUACUUGCAAUUAGAAAUUCCUAUAACUUUUCUGGGAAUAUAUAUACUUGUUUGAAUGCAGUUUUGUAGCUUUCCUGUCUUUUACAUGUUAUCCAUAUAUUAGUGCUACUUGUGUAUUUAUAAAUUUCAAAAUAGUAGCUAAUUCUACAUUGAGAUACCAGUAAUUUACUCAGUUAUGUCUUCUAUCGAGCUACCUGCACAUCUCGGUAUCUACCUGAACAUCAGUUUUUCUUGCUCCCUUACUCUAUGCCCACUAUCAGCUGUGUAAACAAUAUUCAUUUACUUUAUCAUCAUAGCUAUUUUAUUGUAUGCCCACCAUCAGAAAAAAAGAAGAUUAUUUGGCCCAGGGUGUUAAUCUUAGUGUUUUCGUUGUAUGCGUUUGUUCAAAUUUAUUUAAUCUUUCCUGAAGUUCUAUUUGUUACCAAAAUUUGUGUGCUACAUACUUAAUGAUUUGUUCCACUGCAUGAAACUAUAGAUUUAGCUUGAACUCUAGAGGAAUGGAUGGUAUACUGGUGUCUUCCUAUUUCAUGAUUUCAUUAAUCUGCAACUGAAACUGAAUUUCAAAUACUAUAAAUGAACAUCUGUAUAGUAUUGUGAUGUUAGCACCUUCAUUGUAUCUUCUCUUAGCUUUAUUUUCCCAGGGCCUCACUUUUGUUGUGGACAGCGGUGACAGAGUGCACCUGUGGCUAGGGAUUGAGCUCUACGAAUGUGAAAUAAGGAAGUUUUGCAUGAUGUUGUGGUUAAGUAAUUGAAAAGUACUAGCUCCAUAUUCUUUAGAAGAUAUUGAGGUCUGAUGAAAGCAGCAAUAAGGGUUCAGAUCUUGUUGUUUUCUUGAGAAAUGAACUUGUGUAUACAAAGUGUUGCUCUCUACAUAGCUAUUUUUCCCAAGUGGAUGCUAGAAAAUUUGGUUUCUGAGAUUCUGUACAUCUAUUUGUAUUAUCAAGUUUAAAUGUGUGAAUGACUCUUGUUAUAAUUGCUAAUAUAUUGUACUAAGAGUUAUUACAUGGAA